AUGGUGAAAUGAGGUAAGACGCAGUUGGGAUUGGACGGUUUAUGGUGAAGAGGAGGAUUUUACGAUUUAUGGUGAAGAGGAGGAUUUUGUCGCACAUGGCCAAAUUGAACAUUGCAUCCUUUACUGCUGCACACAAAACCAAACCCGCAUGGAUGAUGAAAUUGAGAAGGGUUCCUCGUUGAAUUUGCUUUCUCGUUUGUGGGUUUUGUUCAAUUGUUCGUUGCCCUCGAUUGCUUGCACUGUGAAACUUUUAGUAGAUCCAACUUCUUCAAUGUAAGCUUCCGAAUAGGUUAAAAAGGUAUCAUUUUCCAUUCU